rnacentral:rRNA from 1 species
GACGUAGGUGGCGAACGUUAUCCGGAAUUAUUGGGCGUAAAGGGUGCGUAGAUGGCCUGAUAAGUUAGCAGUGGGAAAUCGAGGCUCAACCUCGUGGAAGCUGGUAAUACUGUCAGGCUCGAGUGCAGGAGAGGUUAACGGAACUCCAUGUGGAGCGGUAAAAUGUGUAGAUAUAUGGAAGAACACCAAUAACGGCGAAGGCAGUUAACUAUUCUGUUACUGAC